ACUUAUAUAGCUUAAAAAGAGUAUAAUAUUGAAGAUAUUAGGGUGAUAUUUAUCUUUAAGUA
rnacentral:tRNA from 1 species